GGCCGGUUAGCUCAGUUGGUUAGAGCGUUGUGCUAAUAACGCAAAGGUCGCGGGGUUCGAUACCCGUACUGGCCA